rnacentral:rRNA from 1 species
AUGGCGUCAUCGAUCUUGGGGCUGACCAUUCAGAUGGCGGAGAGCCUCAUUAACACGGGCUUCUCCAACUGCCGGAUGGCCAUCCGCCAACAUUCCUUCAUGCUCGUUGUAGUCACCCGCUCCGAGUCGCUCAACCUUAGGGCAGCCAUCGGCGCCACCAAGCUCGCCAGCACGCUCGUCUCGCUAGACGGCGCCAUGGUGAUCACCUUCUACACAGGUGUGGUCUUCAGCUUCAUCCAGGUCACCGUGCAGGGCAACCUCGCCGGCUAG